AGGAUGUAGACAUGGCCAGAAUUUAGAGCAGUUGCUACUAAUCAUUCUUUGCCCUCAUCAUCUCAGGAGCCAAAGAACAUUAGAUAAAAGGAAGGGCAAGGGUUUCUUUCAGAAAGAAUGGAGAAGCUCCUAACACACAAAGGGGAAAGCACAAAUGCAUUCCGCAAAGAGGAUUUAGCUACUUUAGGCGGAGAUGAUAUCAACUUGUCUACAAAGAGGUAGCAAGUGACAGGGCUCCCCCCUAAGUGAAAUAAAAAUAAUGUACUUGCGAUCGUGCCACUGAUUAUAAAUAGUCCAUCAGCUCUGCCAUGUGUCAUCAGCCAGAAAUAUCAUUAGGAAACUUUACAUUUUCUGACAUACUCUUUAAGAAACACAGCGCUUGUGGUGGCUGCAGAGCCAGCUUGAACUUCUCAGGCAAUGCUAUUGAUUUGUGGGUGGCAGCAGAGCCGAAGGGGCGGGAAAUGACAGGAUGUCAUACAUCAGGGAAGACUGAUUACAUAAAGCUCUCUUUGGCGUACUGGGGCCAGGGCUGGGAGAUAAUACAGCAAAAAGCCUGCCACGUCCCGGUGACAGGAGCCCAUUUCAGCAGCCAAAAAACUGUUUCCAACAGCUUCUGUUUUGCUGGACAGAAGCAGAGAGAACAGAGGGGAAACUCAAUCAAAUGAAAACCCCAAACGUCAAUGUCUUGUGUUGAACAGGAAAGACAGAGGCUAGCUUUGCUAGACGGGCUCAUCACUAGCCAGAAACGGUGCUCGAUGAAGGAGGAGAGGCUGUAAAGCAUGGGGCGUACUUCAGCUGCCAUGACCCCUGACCCUUUUCUUUUUGUUUUAUUUUUCAAGUUUGGUGUGUUUCUCUCUCUCUCUCUCUCUCUCUCUCUCUCUCUCUCUCUCACUCUCUCUCUUGCUCUCUCUCUCCCUCCCCCUCUCUCUGUAAGUGUAUGUGUGUGUGUGUGUGAGAGAGAGAGAGAGAGAGAGAGAGAGAGAGAGAGUUGUAUUACAAGACCCUGCCACAUGUUCUCGCAAUGCCAUUUUGCAAAUACAAAAAUACAAGAGACUAAUUUCAUUGGUUUAAAAAUGUAAUCUAUCCUAAAUUUGUCUCCACCUCAUCAAGCCUAACUAAAUUCACCUAAUUAAAUCUAUUUUCAUCAUGCAAAUUUCUCAGUCGUAUUUAUCUUGCAUAUAUAAUAUUCCUAUAAUCACUUUAAAAAACUAGUCAUGUAGCAAGUUGAACUGCUCCUAAAGAACAUUUUAAAGCAAUCAUGUCUAUGACCAAGCUGCUGUAGGAGUUCCAGGAAACCAUUGAAUGGGUCAUUUUCUAGCCUAAUGUAAUUUGCAUAAAAUUGAAAUAGAACAAACAAAUAAGACCUUCACUGGUUAACUGCUAACAGUAGACCUGAUCAUCCUGAAAAAUUUCUGUGUUCUUCAUGAUCAUGAAAUACAUGUGUGGUGUAUGUUCCCAGUAUGCUAUCGUUCUCUGUAAAACUACUCAUAUAUUAAUGGCUAUUAAAACAUGCAUCGUGAGUUUAGGUUUUGCAUUCUAAAUUUGGUCUUAGAUUUUUGCUUUUGGAGGGAGGAAAACUCAGGCUUAGGUCCCAGGAGGUUCUGAAGGUCAAGUAAGGGAAAGGACUUCAGUCCAGGCAAGAUGCGUGACAUCAACCCUCCCACCCUGUAUCAUCCCCAGGGUUCCAUUACCCUGGCUCCCACUAUAAUUAGCUCUCCUGUGCUAUCAUCACCUGUCCCAGGUUUAGAGAGACUUCAUUUAGCAUCAAGGAUAAAAAAUGCUUCAGGGAAAACUAAAGCCCAGAAGAAUGUAAUUUCACAAAGAAGAUUCUUCUCAGUAUAAAAUAAACUGCAAGUUCUAGAACAGAGCCCUGUAUUGAAGAAGAGGCCAGAGAUGGAGGAGCUUGCCUGUGCAUGGGAAGGUAGGAGGUAACUGGGCAGCACAAUGAAACUACCUGCAGUUAGCCUAGUUCCUGAGUAGGCUCCCUUCACAUAUGCCUCACAGGAUCACAGGAGUCCAGCUAUGUCUAACAAAAAUGCUUCAAGGACCUAAGCAUUCUCUUUUAAAAACAUAACCUGGAGAAGAUUAAGUUCCAGAGCAAAAGUUAUAAAAAACCCAAGCUACAUUUUUUUUGAAAGGAACAGUUUUAAUACUGGGGGAGAGUAAAAUGAUCAAGAAUUUUGUGUUUGAAUUUUGAUGGCCAAGCACUGGUGGUAGGUUUUGAUUCAGCAGUCCUGUGUGUAAGCAUACACAGAAAGCUAUAGAUGGAAUACAUUCAUAAAGAAUGCCAAUGCUUUUUCCAUGGGGACUGAGAGAGUUGCUAUGGUGAGAGGCCUCAGGGGACAUAGUCUGGGGCCCAGAGCAUGUGUAUGUAUCUGCAGUCCAUAGAUAAACCAUUCUCUUUUUUCUCCUCUUUUCAAAUAGUCAUAUCUUCUCCCUUUAUCAAUGGUAACAAAAUGUGAGCAUAUAGUUAUGGCAACAAUAUUUUAAGAACUGAACACUAAACUUUAUUUUUGUUCUAAAUGUAUGUUUACGUUGACUGCAAGUUGAGCAGUCAUCCAGGUUCUGCUUACUAACUCAUCUUUAUUUAAGAAAGAAAUGGUAGGAAAUAAAGACUGUUUCUAAAAUUUUAGGCUAUAACAUCUGGCUUCUUGUUGGCCACAUCUGAUCAGCUUCUAGCAGUCCUGUCCAGCUGGCAAGGGUAAAACAUCUCCACUUACCGUGUAUUGGUAAGAAGCACCCGAGGUAGUCUGGGAUAGAAACUUAGAAUUCAAAAUGUAGUUUCCAAAAGAGAAAACUGUAUGCAUAAUAGCCACAGCUUAAAUCACGUCCAUAUAUUUUGGAUUAAACAGGCUCUUGUUUUGAAAACUGUUCUCCUAAAUAUGAACCUGAGUAUUGAUGCUUUGAUAUAGCAUGGGCAUUUGCACACAUGGAGAGAUAAUAUUUCCUCCUGCUAUGUGCCCUCCUACUAUGAUAGAAAGCAUUUCUAUUUGGCUAUAGGUUAUGCGUCAAACCUCUCCAUUUAGGAACCAAACAUUCCUUUUUACAAGAAUUAAUUUAUGGAAGAUUAUAUUCUGAACACACUAGGUCCUUGGCAGGUGUUUAAGCAGAACAUGUUUGGAAGAAGAGACAAAGAGGAAGGAACUGGGGGAUUAAGUUUGUAUUUAUGAGGAAGGAGAGACCCUGACAAGACUCACGCAGGGUGAGCGUGUGUGUGUGUGUGGAGGUAUGGGGAUAAUCUUGGCGUCACUUCUCAUGUACAACCUCUUUUUGUGUUCUGGGUUCUCCUGAAAGGCAGAUCAGCCACAGAGCCACAGUUAUCCUAGGUGCACAGAGUGCUUUCCCGCUAUUUCACAACACAUUUGAUUUUCAUGGCAACACUAUGUGAAGAAAGAAAAGUAUCAUCUAACAGAAACAAGGGAACCGAAUUUUUCCCAACAUCACAAAGCUGAAUUUUUGAUCAAUCAGGAUUUGAGUAGGCAUUUGUCUGUUUGUUUUAAUGUGUAGGAUAAGGUAGUAAACAACUUAGGCUUGGUGGGCCACAGUCCUUAUUACAACAACCAUGCCGUUGUGUGUCUGCCAGAGACACUAUCUGAACAACAACAACAACAACAACAAUGGCUGUGGUCCAAUACAACUUUAUCUAGAAAAACAGACAAUGGCCAGACUUGUCCCUUGAACCAUAGGCUGCCGAUCUUUUGGCUCUGGUUGCUGUUCGCCAUUGUCAUGGUUCCCUCCUAAAAGUAAGAUGUUACUAACAACCGAGGGUUUUUGGACUCAUUUAAGGAAAUGUAAAUUGUUUUAUGUUGUUUCUGUUAAGCAUUUUUACACGUUCGAGUUCCAGAAACUGUCCAAUCAUAGCCCCUUAAAACUCCUGUUUUCUCAGGACUUGGCCUGGUCUUCAGGGUCCUAGGAUUAUUCUGAUCUCAUGGCUGACAACAGCAGCAGAAAAGCUGGCCAGAAGGAGUCUCAGCAUUUCUGCACUGCCAACUUGCACACUUUGCUCUUUCCCUGUGAGAAUCACCCUUCUCCAGAAACCUCACAUCGGCUCAUCUCAUCUGCAGAGCCCCUGAGGGGGCAGCCAGAUGGGCAGUUGCUGUUGAUGAAAACUUCUGAGUUGAGUAAGGGAUUUUUGUGGCCAUCAGAACCCCUAGCUCAAGCUGAAAUCCUGUUUUCAAAGCACAUGAUAAAGUCCCUAGUCACCUCCAGAUCACCUGCUUGGCGAUAAUUCACACGUCAGGUUAACAGCACUCAACCUCAAAUCUCAGGGUGCCCUCCCUGGCUGCCAGUUCUGAGAUGUCGUUCCCGGAGUCUGUCUGAACAUACUGGAGAGGCAGGGAGAGUGUGCCUGCAACUGCGUGUGUAAACCUGUGUGUGGUUCAUAACCACAUUUGCUGUAUAACCUUGGUUAAGUCAUUUAAGUGCCUUCAGCCUGUUCCCUUGUCUGGAAAAAGAGAGCUAAUCCUUUAAUCCUCAUAAUCAAAGGAUCACUGUGAGGAUUAUAUGAACAGGGGGACUAAUAGAUGUUAUAUUUUAUUCAGUGACACUUUGUGCCAGGCACUGUGCUAAGUGGCUUACUCAUGUUACCUCAUUUAAUCCUACGUGAAAUGGGCACCAUUGGGCCCGUGGUGCACACAUGGAAAAAACGUGGUUUAAGAAGUGGUAAAAUGACCUGUUCAAAGUUAAGGAGUUGCUAGGCUUCAGGGCUUGGACUUGCACGGACCCUUUUAGUGACACUCUAGUUCAUGCUUUCUCUCCACAACGGCUGCCCUCAGCUCAAGUGCCUAGAAAAAGUCUGACGUCUGAUAAGUCUUCACGGGGCACUCUUGCUCUCACCAGGACAGGGGGUACCAUGGAGUCUUGAAACUGUAGUUGUGUGCCCUCCACCAUCCUCUAGGGAUUUAACAGUAUUGAUCAGCCUGAAACUCAGCUUUCCUAUUGAAAAUCCAGUGCCAUUGCAACCAACGAGGCAGGGAUUUUUUUUCUUUUGGUUGCCCUAGACUAAGCACUGUUGCUAUUUCGAGCACAGUCCCUGUAGUACCCUCAUUGACAUCAUCUACAAGAAAUGCAGAGCCUCAGGUCCCUCCCACCCCAGAUCCCCUGAAUCAGCACCUGCUUCUCAGUGUGAUCCUUGGGGGCUUUGAAUGCUUACUGAAGAAUGAGAUGAAUUGGCGAGUUGGAUUGGAUGUAGGUCUUAGUCUCAGUUUCAAAUACUGUUCUGUGUCCCUGACUAUGUGUAAUUAACCUCCCUGUGCCUUUGUUUCUGGGAAAAACCACACAUCUAAUGAAUGGGAAUGAGGAAGGCAAACUCCCACAAGAAAAUUAUCAAGUUUUCUUAAUAUAUGCUAUUUCUCUUGGUCUCCAAACUUCGAAUUCCCAUUUUGACUCUGUUUUGGCAUUCUGAUUUAGAAGAUAGCACCAAUUUUCUUCAAGGGGCUAGUAGGAGCUUUAUAUGAAACAACUCAUGUAAAGUGUCUGGCCUUUAACAGAACCUCAAUUGGGUAUUGCUGUCUUUUUCUUCCCUCACACACUGUUAGGUGUUAGUUUUCACGCUGUCUAGGUGAUAUUCUCUCCUCCACGAGGCCCUAAUCUCCCCAAAGGUGGAGAAUGAUUUUGAUGUUUGUCUUUUAUAUAAGCACACAAAUUCACACAGAACAAGCACUUGCUAUAAGCUGGACACUAUGGGUGAACCCUGAGAUGUUCCUGGGUUUAGGAUGCUCCUUAUGUGAAGAGAAAUACAAGUCUAAGAACCAAUGAGAGCCCUGAAUAAACAAAGCUGUCCAUUGGACACCAAUUUUCACUAAGAAGAAUAGGGAAAGAUUGCCUGAAGGAAGAGGCACAUAGAGGAGCUUUGUAUAAAGGAUAGCAUUUGAGAAGGGUUACCCACUAAAGUGAUGACAUUGCAGCUUGAGGCCUAAUUCCAAACCUACCCUUAUCCCACAGGUAUUCACUGGGCAUCCACUGUGUGUCAGGUACAGUUAUGUUCCCUGGAAACACAGAAGGGAACAAGAAACAGGACAUCUUUGUUUCUGUCACCAUUGGAUUGGUAUUCUGAUUGAGAGUACAGAGGACAUCCAAGACAUAUUGAGAGAAUAUAAAGGUUGUCAGAGAAUGGAGAGUCCUAGGGAGAAAAUAGGCCAGAGACAAGGGAACAGCACUGCUAGGACAUGUCUGAAAAUUUUUAUGCAGAGGUCAGGGAAGGCCUCACUACUCAGGCAACAUAAAGAUAGAGACUAGUGAGAAGAGAGGCAGACAGUUAGCCCUAUCUGGGGGAAGGACAUUCUAAGCAGAGGGCAUCUCAUGUUCAAAGGCUCAGGAGCAGGAAUAUACCCUGUGUUAGAGAUACAACAGGAGUUAAGGCAAUCCAUAUCACCCUUGUCAAAUGAGUUAAAACAAGAAGACAUUGUAAAACCACAUUGGCCUUCCCUCUGACUAACAAACCUUUUCAAACCCACCUCUUCUGUGUGUGCAGGUGUGUGUGUGUGUGUGUGUGUGUGUGUGUGUGUGUGUGUGUGUGUGUGUGUGUGAGCAUGCUCAGGAACUCCUUCAUCUUGCUCCUCAGGUGCCAUCCAUUAUUCCUUUCUCUGUAGUUCUUAGACACUGUCUCUCACUGGCUUGAAACUCAUGGAUAGGCUAGGCUGGCUGGGUAGCAAACCCCAGGGAUCCACAUGUCUCCUCCUCCCCAGCAUGGGAGUUAGAAGUGCAGGCUAAAUGAGCUAAAUACCUAAUAAAAAAUGGAAAAAAAAAAAA